CCAUCCCGGCUUACCAACCCGAUGCAAACUGCGAAUACCGGAGAAUGUUAUCACGGGAGACACACGGCGGGUGCUAACGUCCGUCGUGAAGAGGGAAACAACCCAGACCGCCAGCUAAGGUCCCAAAGUCAUGGUUAAGUGGGAAACGAUGUGGGAAGGCCCAGACAGCCAGGAUGUUGGCUUAGAAGCAGCCAUCAUUUAAAGAAAGCGUAAUAGCUCACUGGUCGAGUCGGCCUGCGCGGAAGAUGUAACGGGGCUAAACCAUGCACCGAAGCUGCGGCAGCGACACUGUGUGUUGUUGGGUAGGGGAGCGUUCUGUAAGCCUGUGAAGGUGUGUCGUGAGGCAUGCUGGAGGUAUCAGAAGUGCGAAUGCUGACAUAAGUAACGAUAAAGCGGGUGAAAAGCCCGCUCGCCGGAAGACCAAGGGUUCCUGUCCAACGUUAAUCGGGGCAGGGUGAGUCGACCCCUAAGGCGAGGCCGAAAGGCGUAGUCGAUGGGAAACGGGUUAAUAUUCCCGUACUUGGUGUUACUGCGAAGGGGGGACGGAGAAGGCUAUGUUGGCCGGGCGACGGUUGUCCCGGUUUAAGCGUGUAGGUGUGUGUUCCAGGUAAAUCCGGUUCACUUUAACACUGAGGCGUGACGACGAGGCACUACGGUGCUGAAGCAACAAAUGCCCUGCUUCCAGGAAAAGCCUCUAAGCAUCAGGUAACAUCAAAUCGUACCCCAAACCGACACAGGUGGUCAGGUAGAGAAUACCAAGGCGCUUGAGAGAACUCGGGUGAAGGAACUAGGCAAAAUGGUGCCGUAACUUCGGGAGAAGGCACGCUGACACGUAGGUGAAGUGAUUUACUCAUGGAGCUGAAGUCAGUCGAAGAUACCAGCUGGCUGCAACUGUUUAUUAAAAACACAGCACUGUGCAAACACGAAAGUGGACGUAUACGGUGUGACGCCUGCCCGGUGCCGGAAGGUUAAUUGAUGGGGUCAGCGCAAGCGAAGCUCCUGAUCGAAGCCCCGGUAAACGGCGGCCGUAACUAUAACGGUCCUAAGGUAGCGAAAUUCCUUGUCGGGUAAGUUCCGACCUGCACGAAUGGCGUAAUGAUGGCCAGGCUGUCUCCACCCGAGACUCAGUGAAAUUGAACUCGCUGUGAAGAUGCAGUGUACCCGCGGCAAGACGGAAAGACCCCGUGAACCUUUACUAUAGCUUGACACUGAACAUUGAGCCUUGAUGUGUAGGAUAGGUGGGAGGCUUUGAAGUGUGGACGCCAGUCUGCAUGGAGCCGACCUUGAAAUACCACCCUUUAAUGUUUGAUGUUCUAACGUGGACCCGUUACCCGGGUUGCGGACAGUGUCUGGUGGGUAGUUUGACUGGGGCGGUCUCCUCCUAAAGAGUAACGGAGGAGCACGAAGGUUGGCUAAUCCUGGUCGGACAUCAGGAGGUUAGUGCAAUGGCAUAAGCCAGCUUGACUGCGAGCGUGACGGCGCGAGCAGGUGCGAAAGCAGGUCAUAGUGAUCCGGUGGUUCUGAAUGGAAGGGCCAUCGCUCAACGGAUAAAAGGUACUCCGGGGAUAACAGGCUGAUACCGCCCAAGAGUUCAUAUCGACGGCGGUGUUUGGCACCUCGAUGUCGGCUCAUCACAUCCUGGGGCUGAAGUAGGUCCCAAGGGUAUGGCUGUUCGCCAUUUAAAGUGGUACGCGAGCUGGGUUUAGAACGUCGUGAGACAGUUCGGUCCCUAUCUGCCGUGGGCGCUGGAGAACUGAGGGGGGCUGCUCCUAGUACGAGAGGACCGGAGUGGACGCAUCACUGGUGUUCGGGUUGUCAUGCCAAUGGCACUGCCCGGUAGCUAAAUGCGGAAGAGAUAAGUGCUGAAAGCAUCUAAGCACGAAACUUGCCCCGA
rnacentral:rRNA from 1 species